rnacentral:tRNA from 1 species
GUAUAGGUCAGUGGUAGAACACAUGCCUAGCAUACACAAGGCCCUGGGUUCAAUUCCCAGAACA